UGUUGACUAUAAAGAGCCAUCAUCAAUGGAUCUCUGAUAACAUGAUCAAACAUGGACCAAAAGCGUAGAUCCACUUACUUUUCCCCCACGGAAUUGGAAAUUCUAAUGAACGCAUAUGCCGAGCAGGUACCCAUUUUCACCAAAAAAAGCAAUACCGCCGCGGCAGCGAGAGCGCGAGAGAGAGCUUGGCAGGAAAUAGCUGAACAAGUCAAUGCGAACAACCCGAGUUGCCCCAAGAGGACUUGGCAGCAAAUGAAGAUGAAGUACAAAAAUAUAGUUCAAACAGUAAAUCGAAAAAAAGCAGAGGCCCGGAAGACUGGAGGGGGUCCACCACCUGCAGCCCUCACAGUGGCUGAGGAGAUGGCCCUCAGCCAACAGAGUAUGCUUCCUGUGGCUGAGGGCAUCCCUGGAGGGAGCUCCUCUGAUCCCCCCACCCCCCAGGAUAGAAGUGCCUUUAUAAGAGGAAGAUGAUGGAGAAACAUUGUCUGCGGCAUUUGAAAGGGAAGAGGAAAGGCCUAUUGAGAUUAACACCUUUUAAAAAUAACAUCUAAAAGUUGAUGAUAGAGUUGUACAAUUUAAAACUGACAUCUUCUUUCUCUCAAACAGGAUGAAAUCGAAUUCAAUGAGAGGCCAUCCACUUCUAAAUCACAGCUUACCUCUCUUCCAGUCAAAGAGCUCUAUAAAAUCUAUCUGGGAAAACAAAUAAAUAAAGCAGACUUGGAAAUGGACCACAUUAGGCAAAAGAUGCUAAAGGAUGCUUUGGAGAUCCAAAUUUUGGAACAUAAGUUAAAGGAAAUAAAGAAAUCC